AACUUUCAACAACGGAUCUCUUGGUUCCGGCAUCGAUGAAGAACGCAGCGAAAUGCGAUAAGUAAUGUGAAUUGCAGAAUUCCGUGAAUCAUCAAAUCUUUGAACGCACAUUGCGCCCUCUGGUAUUCCGGAGGGCAUGCCUGUCCGAGCGUCAUUGCAACCCCUCAAGCACG
rnacentral:rRNA from 1 species